rnacentral:rRNA from 1 species
GUGGGGAAUAUUGGACAAUGGGGGGAACCCUGAUCCAGCCAUGCCGCGUGUGUGAAGAAGGCCUUUUGGUUGUAAAGCACUUUAAGCGAGGAGGAGGCUACCGAGAUUAAUACUCUUGGAUAGUGGACGUUACUCGCAGAAUAAGCACCGGCUAACUCUGUGCCAGCAGCCGCGGUAAUACAGAGGGUGCAAGCGUUAAUCGGAUUUACUGGGCGUAAAGCGCGCGUAGGUGGCCAAUUAAGUCAAAUGUGAAAUCCCCGAGCUUAACUUGGGAAUUGCAUUCGAUACUGGUUGGCUAGAGUAUGGGAGAAGAUGGUAGAAUUCCAGGUGUAGCGGUGAAAUGCGUAGAGAUCUGGAGGAAUACCGAUGGCGAAGGCAGCCAUCUGGCCUAAUACUGACACUGAGGUGCGAAAGCAUGGGGAGCAAACAGGAUUAGAUACCCGUGUAGUCC